GUACAUGGGCAGUGGGGCAAGUAUUUGGGCUGGAGACGGCCGGGGGUAUACAGCUGAAGCCCCGGGGGAGGAAAGCCCAGCCCUCAGAGGAAGAAAUGCUUCCAAAGGAAAAUGAAACUGCCGUCUUUGCACCGGCUCAGUCCUCAUCCCAGAGGGGCCUGUUCCAACCGCAUUCAGGUUCCAACUUGGAUUUAAACUAUGUUCAACUUGCUGUUCCCAGUGGAGUGAGCCAUCAGAUGUCUGUUUGCAUGGAGGAAUGAAGUUUAUGAGCAAGAACUUUCACUAAGGGAAUAUGGGCAUAAUGGCCUUGACCCAGUUACAAAUACCCUAUUGAAAGGGUCAGUAAAAUGUGGUAUCUACCACUGAUAUCCUUGAACCCACUCAUAAGGAUUCAUGUCUGGGAACUAAGAAGAUGAAAGCAUAUAAAAACACCACAAACAGCACACAAUGACCCACUGCCAACUCCUAAAGGGCAGGUUAGCACUCAAGUCAGUCUUGGAAUUUAAUGGACUUCUCACUGAAAGUUUACCCUUUUAUUUGUCACAAUGUUACUGUCUUAGAGUCACCGAAGCCCUUUUCACACAUAUCCUCAUGACAUCAGUGUGGAAGCCAGAGAGAGAGGGAACAAAUUCUCUUUGACUUUUGUUUCUCAUUGUUCAUCCCUAAAGUUGAGAGACAUUUUCUGAAUCAUGCUUCAGAAGUUCAAGGGCAUCAAGUCAGGCACAUUUUGGACUGCAAACAUUAAAAAAGGCCUUUUAUUUCUAAUGUCCAGAGCUUUGCCAGGAAACUGCCCCCAU